AGAGACAGCAGCAGCCGCGGGAAUACAGAGGGUGCGAGCGUUAAUCGGAUUUACUGGGCGUAAAGCGUGCGUAGGCGGCUUUUUAAGUCGGAUGUGAAAUCCCUGAGCUUAACUUAGGAAUUGCAUUCGAUACUGGGAAGCUAGAGUAUGGGAGAGGAUGGUAGAAUUCCAGGUGUAGCGGUGAAAUGCGUAGAGAUCUGGAGGAAUACCGAUGGCGAAGGCAGCCAUCUGGCCUAAUACUGACGCUGAGGUACGAAAGCAUGGGGAGCAAACAGGAUUAGAUACCCCAGUAGUCCCUGUCUCUUAUAC
rnacentral:rRNA from 1 species